GCAGGCACGUGCCGUCACCUCGUGCACGCAGAGUGGGCAGCGAUCCUGGGGGACAAUUCCCUAAAGUCGGGACGAGGACCGGGAGGACAAGCCGGUGUCUUUGGGCUGAGGCUGGGCUGGGCUUGGGCUGGCGCUUGUCCCCGCCGGAGCUCCUGGGUUUGAAGCUGAUAUCCGAAUAGCAAAUUAACAGAGGACGUGAGAGGACUGCAGAGAACAAAUUAAGAGCCAAAGGUCUUUCCCCCAUGUAUCUAGAGAGAGGAUUUCUACCACACGCUCGCUGACGUUAAGCCAAGUUGCUGCAAAAUGAACCUGAUAUGAUUACGUUCCGCUGGACAGAGCUCCGGCAUUGGCAAUACAAAUGCAACCCACCCAGACAUCACUGCCAGGAACGACUGCAAAAUCCCAAACUGGGGCGAACUGUUGAUGCUGAAAACGCUUUUCAAAAUGCAUAUUAAUGUUC